AUGUGAAAACCCGAGUGAGAGAGAGAGAGAGAGAGAGAGAGAAUGCGGCGCCAGAACGAGACUGUGAUGGUUUUAUCUUCGUCCAACGAGGAAGGAGGAGGAGGAGGAGGAGGAGGAGGUGAGGAAGCAGCAGUUGCAGAGAGUAUGCAUGAAGAAAGAGAAGGAGAAGAGGAGGAGAGUAGUGGUAAGAAGAAGGGUCUUUCAAUCUGCUUUCCCACCAACAGAAUCAAACGCAUCGUAAGGGGCGAUUGCCCUGACUUCCGCACCACCUCUGACUCCGUCUUCCUCUUCAACAAAGCCACGGAACUGUUUCUUGAACAUUUUGCAGAAGAUGCAUAUGCUUGUGCAGUAAGAAACCCUAAAAAAUCUAUCAGUUAUGAGCACUUAUCAUCAGUUGUUUCAAAUAAGAGAUACGAGUUCCUUUCAGAUUAUGUGCCACAGAAAUUAAGAGCCCAGGAUGCCUUGUCAGCCAAAGCAUUAGCUGAGAAGUGAUGAAUCAUACCAGGACUCUUGCAGGUGCAUACAGCAAUGCAGCAGUCGUGACUGUUUUGGAAGUCUCCUUUCCCAUAACACAUAAUUGCCUGUUGUACUGAUCUGAUGCAUAGUCUGUUGUUUGUCUCUAAGAGCACAUGACAUUUAUACCAAAUCAUUUUGCAGUCUAGGUGAGUCCACCUCAACAGGAAAACAACCUGGAUGGUUAUUGCAAACCGUUUUAAGGCCAUCAGUCAAUUGGUUAGGAUCAUUUGCAUUUUUUUUAAUUUUUUAUUUUUGCAGUUGAAUGGGGUCUGUUACUACUAACAGUUUUUUCCCCCUCAUCCAUUCCUAGGCCAUCUAAUUGACAGGUCAAUUUUGGUAUUGCAUGUGCAACACAUGGAGAGAGUAGGGGGAGAAAAGAAGAGGAAAAGGUGUGGUUAGAUAGUGCAUGCUAUACAUAGAGAGAGAAAGAAGGCUGCCAGAAUGGUUUCAAUGCUGUGCAACACAACCCCACUUUUUUGGUCUUGGGCCCACUCAGGAGUUUUAUACACACCUUGUUUCGAGCUUAUGUCCUAACAUUAUAUAGCACAAAGGAAGUAUGGACUAAGAUGAUAUAAAGUCAUCGCGAUGAUCCCAAUAGAGCCUUUGUUGUGCCAGCUCUCUUUAAUACAAUACGUCUUUGCAGGCUAAACACAAAAAGGAGGAAAGUGGGAGGGGCCUACUCAUGGGAGACUGAUGAUAAAAAUAAUAA